UUCCUAUGAGCAACGCAUCAUUCUGCUGCCACUCCGCGCAAAAACGCAUCAGCUGUCUCGCGUUGCCGGCUGCCAGCACAAGGGCGAUUCUGCUCGGGAAAAGGAGCGCCGUGUUUCUCGCUCUCCCUCGGCUCUCAUCCGGACAACACACGACCUUGAAGAAGGAGAUCUCCGUGAUCAAAAUAGCUCCGGGUUGAACUUCCACCAACCAACACGUCGGUAGGAGGAGUCAACAGAGGGCGUGUGACCUGCAUGGUGUAGUUGGGCAGUGGGAUACAAGCUCCUGGACCAGACUCACCGGGGACAAUAGCCACACACCAACACUGGGAAGGAGCUGUCUCGGUGACUCACAGUGACAGGGUCAAGCCGCCGGGAGGACCAUGUGACCUCUCUGUGGCCCCGCCCACCAUUGCUCACUUGUCCUCGGUCACUUCCUGUCAGGCCUCUCUCUCUCUGCGGCGGAGUGGCCGGUGACAUCAGAGCAGAGCGGAGCUCGCCGCGUCUACGUCCACGUCUUCGUCCACCUCCCACGGCCACGGUGAGCUCCGUCCGCCUGCGGAACAUCUGAACAGGGACCAAAGGACACACACACACACACACACUCACAGAGGACACUCAGAGGAAGGACAUCUCAGGACGCGUUGUUUUUGUCGAGUAAGGGAGUGCGGAGUUUUCUAUCUUUUUCCCCAAAGAAAACCACCUGCAUCGUUUUUUUUUUACUGCUGCUAGAACAGCGCAAGUCCCUUGACCUCCCUCUUAUCUGUGCACAGUCGGACACGUGCACACACACACACACACACACACACACACACACACACACACACACACACACACACACGUUUCUACUAACAGAACACUGACACAGACCAAGGAGCAGAAGGCCCAAGUGUUUCUGGUUGGAUUCUGGAUUUACCAUCGCCGUGGUUACUGCCCCGCGUGUGAGGAAUGUAAACAGCCACCGGCACCACGGACGAGCGCAGGAGAGGCGUGGGCUUCGGCGGAGGAGGCGGCGGCGGCGGAGGCAGUUCCCGGCUCGACUUCGGCAUGUCUGGCAACGGGAACCCGUGCCCCCCAGGGGUGCCCCCUCCGCUGGGCGCCUUCUCCGUGCCCCAUUACUCCUACUUCUUCCCUCACAUGCUGGGGGGGCUCUCGCCCCCCGCCCUGCCCGGCCUGUCCGUCAGCGGAUACAGCACCCCGUCUCCAGC